rnacentral:rRNA from 1 species
GACGUAGGGGGCCAGCGUUGCUCGGAAUUACUGGGCGUAAAGCGCGCGUAGGCGGACCUGCAAGUCGGGGGUGAAAGCCCGAGGCUCAACCUCGGAACUGCCUUCGAUACUGCGGGUCUCGAGUCCGGGAGAGGUGAGUGGAAUUCCUAGUGUAGAGGUGAAAUUCGUAGAUAUUAGGAAGAACACCAGUGGCGAAGGCGGCUCACUGGCCCGGUACUGACGCUGAGGCGCGAAAGCGUGGGGAGCAAACAGG